rnacentral:rRNA from 1 species
AUGCAACACAAGGAGAUGUGGUGGUAUCCCCUGAAAGCUCUGAACCGUGAAGCAUAUCAAGAGGGGAAAACAGCAAACAGGAGGCAUGAGGAGGAACACUCUCCUCGCCCUUGCGUCCUGGCUCAUGCUGCUUGCACUCUUCAUCACAACCGCCACUGCUUCACUGCCGUGCCAGUGUUGCUGGAUCGUGGAGCAUCCGAGGAGGACCUGCGGCCACGCCUGCUGCGGCGACAACUGCUGCCCGCCCGCUCCACCGCCAUCCGCAGGCUGAAAAAGGAUGCACAGGCUUGUUCAUCGGCAUUCCAAUCUUUGGAAGCCUUCAAGGCCCGACACAAGAACAAGUCGUUUACUCUCACGCACGGUUGGCCGCUCAUCAAAGAUUACCCCAAGUUCAAAGACCAAUAUGCCACUCAUAAGAAUAAAGGAGGGAAGGCGGCCAUGGCUGAUGAGGGAGACUUGAUCACCCAAGGGGCAAGACAAGUUCGAAGGCCGACGUGA